GUGGGUACUAAAUCUACACGGACUGCAUUCAGAUCCAAGUGUGGCUCAGCCAACCCUAAUGCAUCUAUGGGUAGGUUCAUAACCAAUUAUUUCUUCAAAUAAUUUCUAGCAAUUAGGUUUUGCCCCAAGCAUCCCUUCAACAAGCGCGUGGUGCCUCCACUGAAAAUCUCGAUUAGGUCUAACCAUUAAUAUGACACACCA
rnacentral:lncRNA from 1 species